rnacentral:misc_RNA from 1 species
UCGGUAUAAUAAUGCCAGCUAGAUUUGAGAGUCUACAGCCACCUUUUCCUCAAUGUCCUUAUCCACUUGCAUGUCAGAGAUGAACGGCUAAGGAAACCAAAUUGGAUGAGCACAUCAAGAAUGUGUCAAUUCUAGCAAGGUUAAUGAACCCUUCGUUCAUUUUUUAUUUGGUCAAUGUUGGCAUCCAUUUUCUUCAAUGUUGAUUUGUCCAUGUCUGUCGUCAAUGAUGGGAUCAUAAUAUAAGUAUAAUUACAUUUCACAACAAUCCAUCUCUAACUGCACAGUCCGGCUCUAAACAAGUCCGGAAGGGCUCCCUAACUCCAUCCAAGACUGAUUCGGUGAAAACCACCAUAUUGGCACUGGCAGGGCACCCAGAACUGAAGCCCUCCCCAUGUCCGGCAAGGGAAGUCACUGGCGCUCUUUGGCUCAUUGCAGGGAACAUCCAAGACUGAUCUUGUUAAAAUCAUCAAACUGGCAUUGGCAGGGGACUAGAGAACUUGGAACAGAACCCCAACCCAUGUACCACAAAGGACAUCACCACGCUUGUAACAUAUCUAGGUUUAGAUGGUACUUAGGGUCACAACACUGCAACCACAGAAACAUAAGGUUGUACUUCACCAGAAGCUGCCUAUGGCAAACCACAUUCUAAAGUCUAAACAGAGAAUUCCUUUAUGU